GUCGAACAGCGCCAGUUCGCGCGCGACGGCAAGCACGUUGCGCCAGGUGGCGAUGUAG
rnacentral:sRNA from 1 species